CUCGAUGCUGUCCCAGGCGUAGAAUGGAGUGCUCUGCCUCCAUUGACCUACCGAUCUUCAGCAGUUGACUGACCCCUACGGUCCAAUGGUCUCAUGUCAACUGGCUAGAAAGAGGGCUUUAUUUUUAGUCUUCCUUCCUGGUGACGCCAUUGUAGUGAGCUGUAUCACCAGCCAUUCACUAAUUUAUUGCCAAAUCAAAAAAGAAAAGUAUAUGUUCUUACGAGGCAUCCGCGCUUCCAUUCAAGUGUCGCAGCCCC
rnacentral:lncRNA from 1 species